GCCCAAGAGAUCACAAGACAAGAAGACCAGUGCCAGACUCUAGUUGAAGAUCCCAGGACCUGGCACAUGCUAUGUCAGCACUCUGCCACUGAGCUAUGAUCCAUACUCCCUUCCUGCCUUGAAAUCGUCUAUGAUGCUCAUUCAAGGAGAGCAAUUCUGAGGCAGUUAGUAACAUUUUAGGGAGAAGAUUGAUUUUGGAAUUCUUGUAGACCAUUUGCGAAAUCCUAAUCUCAGAUCUGAACUAUCUCCAAGCAUGACUUAAUCUAAUCCCCUUUUCAGAACAAACUAAAAUUCAGAGAUG